rnacentral:rRNA from 1 species
UACGGGGGGGGGGAGCAAGCGUUUUGUUUCGGAUUUUUACUGGGCGUAAAGGGUGCGUAGGCGGCGCGGUAAGUCGGGGUGUGAAAAUUUUUCGGAGCUUUAACUCCGAAACUGCAUUUCGAUACUGCGGUGCUUUGAGGACUGGAGAGGAGACUGGAAUUUCAUGGUGUAGCAGUGAAAUGCGUAGAGAUCAUGAGGAAGACCAGUGGCGAAGGCGGGGUCUCUGGACAGUUUCCUGACACUGAGACACGAAGGCCAGGGGAGCAAACAGGGAUU